GACGAACGCUGGCGGCGUGCCUAAUACAUGCAAGUCGAACGCAGUGGGGACGGUUUAGUAACACGUGGGUAACCUCUCAUCAGAGGGGAUAACACUUGGAAACAGGUGCUAAACCGAUACUGAUGGCUGGACUCGCGGUGCAUUAGCUAGUUGGUGAGGUAACGGCUCACCAGGGCCAGGAUGCAUAGCGAGGCUGAGAGGUGGUUCCAACAGACUUGAACUUAGGGACGGACAGGACUUCUACGGGAUAGAGUAGUAGGGAGUUUUCGGCAAAGGAAGAAAGUCUGACCGAGCGACGCCGCGUGAAUGAAGAGGGUUUGGGGUUUGUAGAACUGUGUAGGUAGGGAAGCGGCAUCUAAACAGAAAGCCACAGCUAAAUACGUGACAGCAGCCGCGGUAAUAC
rnacentral:rRNA from 1 species